AGGACGCGUCCCUACGCCUCGUAGGAGUGGUCACGGCUCUAUCCGAUGUCUCCUCCAUGCUACGAAGAGUAGCGGUUAGUGUCAUCUCUCGUAGUGGAGAUGAUGCCGUAUCCGUGAUGUACUUGGACUAGGAUUCUAAGGCAGUUGCCUCAAGGCUUACUUCUAACUGGAGUAGAACUCUAAGUGAUAAGUCAUCAACCCACGGUUGGUCUUAUCCCCAAGAGACCUAGUCCUGAUCAAACUAGGAGUCUUGGUUCAAUAGAACUACGUACGGCUUGAUCCCCUAUAUAAAGGGGUACGUAGGCACAUCAAGGGGAUAUAUCGAGAGUUGUGAGAACGAGAGCAGAAAUAUAUUCCCUUGAUCUCAGCCACCCUCAAACACCUAAAACCACCGUCCACGGCGGAUCUCCGUCAUAUAAUCACCGUAAAAACACCUAAGUCCGUCAACGAACCUCACGUUUGUUGAUUCACCAAAUUCCUCUAUCAACAGUAAUUAUCACGGAAAUGGGCAGUGCAAGUGUGCAACUCUUAUCUUCGUUUCGCUUUUAGUAAGUCAACUAGUCAGCAAUUUAUACCACAAUACAUGAACAUGUAAUCACCCGGGAUCAGAGGAGGACUUCCAGGAGGAUCGUCGAGGGCUAAAAAAAUUUAAAGGCACCAAAAUUAUAUAAUCCAUACAUUUGUUACUACUACCGUCCCAAUUGAUUGUAUACGUUAUUUUUUGGCAUGCUUUUUAAGGCUUUUUUAAAGUAUAGUUCCAUAAUUUUUCUUUUAUUUUUUUCCUUUGAAUAAAAAUUUGAUGUUUAAAUUUUUAUUCAAAAAAAAAAUCUUAAAAAAACUAUACUUUAUUGGAGCAUCGAAAUACGGGCAAACAGUGAACGUAUACAUCCACUGGGACAGAGGGAGUAGUAUAUAUUGGUUACUUAAAUUUUUAUAUAUUGGUUACUUAAAUUUUUAAUUAUUUUAACCUCCGUGUAUGCAUUGUACUUAUC
rnacentral:lncRNA from 1 species